GACGAACGCUGGCGGCGUGCUUAACACAUGCAAGUCGAACGGAAAGGCCCUUCGGGGUACUCGAGUGGCGAACGGGUGAGUAACACGUGGGUGAUCUGCCCUGCACUUUGGGAUAAGCCUGGGAAACUGGGUCUAAUACCGAAUAGGACCACGCGCUUCAUGGUGUGUGGUGGAAAGCUUUUGCGGUGUGGGAUGGGCCCGCGGCCUAUCAGCUCGUUGGUGGGGUAAUGGCCUACCAAGGCGACGACGGGUAGCCGGCCUGAGAGGGUGACCGGCCACACUGGGACUGAGAUACGGCCCAGACUCCUACGGGAGGCAGCAGUGGGGAAUAUUGCACAAUGGGCGCAAGCCUGAUGCAGCGACGCCGCGUGAGGGAUGACGGCCUUCGGGUUGUAAACCUCUUUCAAUAGGGACGAAGCGCAAGUGACGGUACCUAUAGAAGAAGCACCGGCCAACUACGUGCCAGCAGCCGCGGUAAUACGUAGGGUGCGAGCGUUGUCCGGAAUUACUGGGCGUAAAGAGCUCGUAGGUGGUUUGUCGCGUUGUUCGUGAAAACUCACAGCUUAACUGUGGGCGUGCGGGCGAUACGGGCAGACUAGAGUACUGCAGGGGAGACUGGAAUUCCUGGUGUAGCGGUGGAAUGCGCAGAUAUCAGGAGGAACACCGGUGGCGAAGGCGGGUCUCUGGGCAGUAACUGACGCUGAGGAGCGAAAGCGUGGGGAGCGAACAGGAUUAGAUACCCUGGUAGUCCACGCCGUAAACGGUGGGUACUAGGUGUGGGUUCCUCCUUGGGAUCCGUGCCGUAGCUAACGCAUUAAGUACCCCGCCUGGGGAGUACGGCCGCAAGGCUAAAACUCAAAGGAAUUGACGGGGGCCCGCACAAGCGGCGGAGCAUGUGGAUUAAUUCGAUGCAACGCGAAGAACCUUACCUGGGUUUGACAUGCACAGGACGCCGGCAGAGAUGUCGGUUCCCUUGUGGCCUGUGUGCAGGUGGUGCAUGGCUGUCGUCAGCUCGUGUCGUGAGAUGUUGGGUUAAGUCCCGCAACGAGCGCAACCCUUGUCCUAUGUUGCCAGCGGGUUAUGCCGGGGACUCGUAGGAGACUGCCGGGGUCAACUCGGAGGAAGGUGGGGAUGACGUCAAGUCAUCAUGCCCCUUAUGUCCAGGGCUUCACACAUGCUACAAUGGCCGGUACAAAGGGCUGCGAUGCCGUGAGGUGGAGCGAAUCCUUUCAAAGCCGGUCUCAGUUCGGAUCGGGGUCUGCAACUCGACCCCGUGAAGUCGGAGUCGCUAGUAAUCGCAGAUCAGCAACGCUGCGGUGAAUACGUUCCCGGGCCUUGUACACACCGCCCGUCACGUCAUGAAAGUCGGUAACACCCGAAGCCGGUGGCCUAACCCUUGUGGAGGGAGCCGUCGAAGGUGGGAUCGGCGAUUGGGACG
rnacentral:rRNA from 1 species